UGGGGAAUAUUGCACAAUGGAGGGAACUCUGAUGCAGCGACGCCGCGUGAGUGAUGAAGGAAUUCGUUUCGUAAAACUCUGUUCUAUGGGAAGAAAAGGACUGUACCAUAGGAGAAAGCUCCGGCUAAAUACGUGCCAGCAGCCGCGGUAAUACGUAUGGAGCGAGCGUUGUCCGGAAUUAUUGGGCGUAAAGGGUGCGCAGGCGGCUUUACAAGUUGGAUGUGAAAUAUUGUGGCUCAACCACAAACGUACAUCCAAAACUGCAAAGCUUGAGUUAAGGAGAGGUAAGUGGAAUUCCUGGUGUAGCGGUGGAAUGCGUAGAUAUCAGGAGGAAUACCGGUGGCGAAGGCGACUUACUGGACUUAAACUGACGCUCAGGCACGAAAGCGUGGGGAGCAAACAGG
rnacentral:rRNA from 1 species